UAAUGUAACGGUAAGGUGUGGGGAGAGGCGAAGCUUUCAAUAGUCCUAUGAUUAGAUCUCAGGCUUUUCCUGAGUCUGUAUCUCCAGAUUGUGAAUUUCACAAGUGUUUUCUCAGUUUUAUUUUUCUUCUCUUUUAGGUGGGAGAGGAUGUCUAGAGCUAACUAGAAUUGGGUAUUUUCCUUCUCCCAUGUGAAAGGCUAGGGUGGGCUGCAGUUGGAUACCUCCCUUUUCCCAAGUCAAUUAGGCUCUGCUAAUCCCCCCAGCCAGUUAGGCUCUGGUUAACUAGUUACCCCUGAAGACAGUCCUUUUUAAGAACAGAGUGGCCUGACAUAUUUCAAAAUGGUCCCCUUUCCCACUUCCUGCUGGUAAUUUUGAGGGGACUUCUCCUAGAUUUUACCAUGGGAACCCGGUGGAUCUCCUUUACAUAAAUCUCACAGAUUUGUGGGGCUUAUGACUGGGUCCUUGGAGAUUUUAACUCUCAGAAAGAGUUGUUCACACUGAGCCUCCAACAUUUCCUCAGUUACAGCGCAGGGUUUCCUGCCUUGGUUCCUGAAGUGAUUUCUACUAUUGAAUCUCCGCUCUGAAUUCCUCGGAUACACUGUCUUCCUUCCGUGGCAGAGGUCUAUCCUGCUGUAUUCUCCCAGCUGAUAGUGUUGUUGCUGAUCCUUCCUAAAUGCAUCACGUUGGACAGGAGAAGGUUUUGUCAUCUGACCUCUCCCACAAGACAUUGGGCAUCUAGAGCAUUAGCAUCCCAUCCACUGUGUCUAAUGGGAUACUUGCUGGUUCUUAAUUGGUAUUCAGCUUGGAGGUCAAGAAAAAGAAGAUUUAUCUAGAGCCAUAACCAGUCUCAUGUAGCUGGACAAAUAGUGGAGAUUAAGGACAUGAAGGUGCCCUGGACUUCAGGGGUCAAGAUGCCUCAAGACAUGGAGCCUCUGAAAGGUGAGCCUGCUAUGGUGUUUUUACUUUGUCCCUAAGCUUUUGUCAUAUUUUCGUCUUUGCUGAUCAAUAGUCUAAUAAAGAAAGCAAAAUGUGAAAGGUUAGAAACUGAAAAGAUAAGCAAUGUCUCUGCUUUUCGAUAGGAUGGGAAGGAUUGG